rnacentral:rRNA from 1 species
UGGUGGAGUGAUUUGUCUGGUUAAUUCCGUUAACGAACGAGACCUCAGCCUGCUAAAUAGUGACUAUUAUCUACCGAUAGUAGAUCGCUUCUUAGAGGGACAUUUCGGGUUUUACCGGAAGGAAGUUUGAGGCAAUAACA